rnacentral:rRNA from 1 species
UGAGUACGAGAUGCUACGGCAUUGAAGCAGUCUAUGUCAUACUUCCAAGAAAAGCUUGCACUGUCAUAAACAAAGAAUGCCUGUACCAUAACCGACACAGGUGGGUAGGUAGAGUAUACUAAGGGGCGCGAGAUAACUCUCUCUAGGGAACUCGGCAAAAUGACUCCGUAACUUCGGGAGGAGGAGUGCCUUAUUUUUAAGGUUGCAAUAACAAGAUCCAAGCAACUGUUUAUCAAAAACACAGGUCUCCGCUAAGUCGUAAGACGAUGUAUGGGGGCUGACGCCUGCCCAGUGCCAGAAGGUUAAAGAAGUUGGUUAGCAUUCGCGAAGCUGAUAACUGAAGCCCUGGUGAACGGCGGCCGUAACAAUAACGGUCCUAAGGUAGCGAAAUUCCUUGUCGGGUAAGUUCCGACCCGCACGAAAGGCGUAAUGAUUUGGAUACUGUCUCGGAGAGGGACUCGGUGAAAUAGACUUGUCUGUGAAGAUGCGGACUACCUGCACCUGGACAGAAAGACCCUAUGAAGCUUUACUGUAACUUGAAAUUGAAAUUGGACUUUAGUUGCGCAGGAUAGGUGGGAGGCGUUGAGAAUAUUCUUGCGGGAGUAUUGGAGCCAUCAGUGAGAUACCACUCUUCUAAUGUUAGAUUUCUAACUUUGUAUCAUUAUCUGGUCAAAGAACAGUUUCAGGCGGGCAGUUUGACUGGGGCGGUCGCCUCCUAAAGGGUAACUGAGGCGCACAAAGGUUUCCUCUGAACGAGUAGAAAUCGUAUCUAGAGUGUAAAGGCAUAAGGAAGCUUGACUGUGAGACCUACAAGUCGAGCAGGGACGAAAGUCUGUCUUAGUGAUCUGACGGUGCUGAGUGGAAAGGCCGUCACUCAACGGAUAAAAGUUACUCUAGGAUAACAGGCUGAUCUCCCCCAAGAGUUCACAUCGACGGGGAGGUUUGGCACCUCGAUGUCGGCUCAUCGCAUCCUGGGGCGGUAGUACGUCCCAAGGGUUGGGCUGUUCGCCCAUGAAAGCGGUACGCGAGCUGGGUUCAGAACGUCGUGAGACAGUUCGGUCCAUAUCCGGUGUAGGCGUUAGAAUAUUGAGAGGAGCCUUCUCUAGUACGAGAGGACCGAGAAGGACAUACCUCUAGUGUACCAGUUAUCGUGCCAACGGUAAACGCUGGGUAGCUAUGUAUGGAGUGGAUAACCGCUGAAAGCAUCUAAGUGGGAAGCCCACCUCAAGAUAAG